GGUUUUCAGAGGUUGGCACGGGAGAGAUGAGAGGGUCCUCACAGGCAUGGGCAUCGCAGUAUGCCAUCAAGUCUGCCGCUGCCUUUGACACCUGGAGGUGGAGGAAGGAAAACGUGGGACACAGUGAGAUCAGAGGUCCCCCAGCUGAGCCCUUCAUGCAGAGCUAGCUCAGGCAGACUGCUGCCAUCUGUUCGACUGGAGGAGUCGCUGGUAUACAAUGAAACGAAGACGAUCCCACCAGCCAAAACACUCCCUGCAUAGGCAAUACCACAGCCAUUUAUGUGACAACGUGGUGAUACCAGCCACUGUCGCAACAGUACCACAGUACCAGACUGGGGCGUAGCCAUAUGUUGGAGUGCAUAAGCCACUCAGCAUCCACGAUUAAGGUACUGAAUUCAUUCAUGAUGUUGAAUCCCAGGAGAGAAUGCUGCUGUACCCUUGAGCCGUGUUAACUCACUGAACUGCUCCAGACACCAAAGCAUUACAAACACAUGAACAACUUUAUAACAGAUCAUUUUCUCCACACUCAAUAAGAAUGUUCAAAUGAACAAUAAGGAGUGUGAUGCAUAUUUGUUGUGACUGAUAUGUUUACUCUGCCCAUUGCCAUCCUGUCAUUUUUGUUUUUACUAAAUUUACCUAAAUUUACUUAUAACAUGUAAUUCUUAAUAUUGUGCCAAAAAUGAGAUGUUCAGUGAAUAUAACUCAGGUAGGGAUACACAAAAGAGAGAGGAUACACUAAAAGUCAGUCAAAUUGUAACCUGAGAAGCAAGGAACAUUAAGACACAUGCAUGUUAUGAGGCACAAGAGUGGGCUCUCACCUUGAUCCGACACAUACUGGCUUCAAUCUUCAGCUGCUCCACCAGCUUCCUGGCCUGACCGACACUCAUUGUGCUAUUUACUGGGGUAUCUCCUUUCAUCCUGUUACACACACGCACGCAUGCACACGCACACACACACACACAAAAACACCAUCAGAAAAUUUAACCAACUGUCACAAGACAGAAUUUUUUUUUUAAUCGAACAUUAAAAAACUCUUUAAAAAUA